UAGAGUAUCUAGGUGAAAGCUUGUACUGCAUGCAGGAACACUGUUGGUGCCUGCCAUCAAUUUCCAAUAUCAAAUCACAAAGUUUUACACACUGAAGGUUUGCUUUAAGGAAGAUUAGUAUUGAGUAAUAAAUGACCAGCAUGCUGGUUUUGGUUCUGCCACCCUACUUGCAUUGGCUUUCAUGCUGCA